GGGGGUGACUUGGUUUCGACUGGAGUAGUCGGGGCUAUGUGCAUGUCGGACUGAGCAAUUCCGUUACGCGGCUCAAACGCAUUUAACCGCAAACAACACAGAUUACCGUCCAGCUUACGCAGUAGCGUAAGUCAUUAACCCCGAGCAAUCGGAGGACUGCCCUGCCGAGGAGUGUCAUCUUAAUCGGAAUCCAUGUAUUUGGAAAUGCUUCGGCAUUUGGGGUAUCAUAUCUGGUGACUAUGCCUCGUGGAAGCUAUGCCACAAGGUGAGAAUUUUAGCUGGUCUGGCAAAGUUUUGAGUGUAGUACAAAACCAGAUGAGAAUUAACAACACCGACUAAGCAUGUAGAGUCAUAGUUCUAGCUACUUUAGGACAGGGGUUCAAUUCCCCUCACCUCCAAAA
rnacentral:tmRNA from 1 species